GGAAUAUUGGACAAUGGGGGCAACCCUGAUCCAGCCAUGCCGCGUGCGUGAAGAAGGCCUUAGGGUUGUAAAGCGCUUUCGGCGGGGAAGAUGCUGACGGUACCCGCAGAAGAAGCCCCGGCUAACUCCGGUCCGUCAGCCGCGGUAAUACGGAGGGGGCUAGCGUUGUUCGGAAUUACUGGGCGUAAAGGGCGCGUAGGCGGACUGCCAAGUCAGGGGUGAAAGCCCUGGGCUCAACCCGGGAAUUGCCUUUGAAACUGGCAGUCUGGAGUCCGAGAGAGGAUGGCGGAAUUCCCAGUGUAGAGGUGAAAUUCGUAGAUAUUGGGAAGAACACCAGUGGCGAAGGCGGCCAUCUGGCUCGGAACUGACGCUGAGGCGCGAAAGCGUGGGGAGCA
rnacentral:rRNA from 1 species